UACGGAGGGAGCUAGCGUUGUUCGGAAUUACUGGGCGUAAAGGGCGCGUAGGCGGUUUGCUAAGUUGGACAUGAAAACUCUGGGCUUAACCCAGAGCCUGCAUCCAAAACUGGCAAGCUAGAGUUUUGGAGGGGGAAGCGGAAUUCCCGGUGUAGCGGUGAAAUGCGCAGAUAUCAGGAGGAACACCGGUGGCGAAGGCGGAUCUCUGGGCCUUACCUGACGCUGAGGCGCGAAAGCUAGGGGAGCGAACAGG
rnacentral:rRNA from 1 species